rnacentral:lncRNA from 1 species
UGAUUCGAUCACAUAUUUAAUUUCAGCAUAUGUUCAAUUUUAGCAUAUGAAGUAGAUCCUAGUACUUUAUAUUUUAUGCAUGCAUGAUAUAGAUAAAAAAUAUUUUAAUCUUCUAUUCCAUUAUGUUGUUUAGAAAAAAAAAUUUGAAACAUACAUGCAUGCCCCUACAUGAAAAAUUCAACAGUAUCUAGAUGAAAUCUAUCGAUCUUGGUAGAGAGAAGUAGUCCUAUG